rnacentral:rRNA from 1 species
GAUGAACGCUGGCGGCGUGCCUAAUACAUGCAAGUCGAGCGAACGGACGAGAAGCUUGCUUCUCUGAUGUUAGCGGCGGACGGGUGAGUAACACGUGGAUAACCUACCUAUAAGACUGGGAUAACUUCGGGAAACCGGAGAUAAUACCGGAUAAUAUUAUGAACCGCAUGGUUCAAAAGUGAAAGACGGUCUUGCUGUCACUUAUAGAUGGAUCCGCGCUGCAUUAGCUAGUUGGUAAGGUAACGGCCUACCAAGGCAACGAUGCAUAGCCGACCUGAGAGGAUGAUCGGCCACACUGGAACUGAGACACGGUCCAGACUCCUACGGGAGGCAGCAGUAGGGAAUCUUCCGCAAAGGGCGAAAGCCUGACCGAGCCACGCCGCGUGAGUGAUGAAGGUCUUCGGAUCGUAAAGCUCUGUUGUUAGGGAAGAACAUAUGUGUAAUUAUCUGUGGACAUCUUGACGGUACCUAAUCAGAAAGCCCCGGCUAACUUCGUG